UAUAUGGUACGAUGCUAAUUUUGUUCUUGCAGCAAUUUUUCUGAUUCCAUUGAAAGUAUAAAGAAAUAUUAUACCGUAAGAGAAGUUCUAAUUUGUUAUCAAAGAUGAAAUUUGAGAGACACUGGUCCAAUACAUAACGAAAGAGGCAUUAUAAGUUAAGGGGAGGUGAAGUGAGAGGAGAUGGGGUGCGGCCUUAUCGUGUGCGUGGGACAGGAGAACGUCAUUCAGAGAAGCGCUUCGAUUAUCUUCUCCCGUAGCGUUGACAAUGUUGUACUUGUUCGAGCAGUCAGACUACUUACACGCUGUGUACAUAUUAGAGGCGUUGCGUUGCCGCAAGGAGGUGGAUUGCUUUAGUCUUUUAGUAGCUGCGCGGGCACCGUUCCAUCGAGAUCUUUGACUAGGCACGAGACACGCGAUACGUUUUAUCUAUUUUUCUUACUAUUUUAUGAUUAUUAAAUCAACUUGCAUAACUUUCUUAUCUCUUCAAUCAAGUUUCCCUAAGAGAUUGUGAUUGUAUGGAAAUGUCUUCUUCUUUUUUUCUAAAUUUUCCACAAACAUAGUUUUUUUCCAUCAACAGAGAAGAAAAAUAUUCAUGGACCUAAGUCGACUGAUAAAAUUAAUGAAGAUGAUUAGAAGAUAUUCGUUAUCGCAAAAAGAAACAUUUUAUUAGCAACAAAUAUAAUUUUGGUUUAAGGGGUAAACGUGCUCCGAGUUCAACCGCAGAAGCAAGAAAAGUGACAUACAAGUCCAUUGCAGUCGUCCAAAGUUUGUUUCUGGAAGAUCAUGUAUCUCGUCAAAAUCCAAACAAUUACGAGGUCGGAUAAAUGACAGUUUUUAAAUUUAUCGAGAUAUCUCGAAUAAAAAAUGAUGAAGUGAUUAUUAUCGAUUGAUCGAAUAUAUCG